rnacentral:rRNA from 1 species
GUGCCAGCAGCCGCGGUAAUACGGAGGGUGCGAGCGUUAAUCGGAAUUACUGGGCGUAAAGGGCGCGUAGGCGGUCGCGCAAGUCGGGUGUGAAAGCCCCCGGGCUCAACCUGGGAAUUGCAUUCGAUACUGCGUAACUAGAGUCUGGUAGAGGGAAGCGGAAUUCUGCAUGUAGCGGUUAAAUGCGUAGAUAUGCGGAGGAACACCAGUGGCGAAGGCGGCUUCCUGGGCCAAGACUGACGCUGAGGCGCGAAAGCGUGGGGAGCAAACAGGAUUAGAUACCCUGGUAGUCCACGCCCUAAACGAUGAGGACUAGACGUUGGGGGGAUAAAACCCUUUAGUGUCGCAGCUAACGCGUGAAGUCCUCCGCCUGGGGAGUACGGCCGCAAGGUUGAAACUUAAAUGAAUUGGCGG